UACGUAGGGGGCAAGCGUUGUCCGGAAUGACUGGGCGUAAAGGGCGUGUAGGCGGUCGGGUAAGUUGGGAGUGAGAGCCCUUUUUUCAAGGGAGGGACUGCUCUCAAUACUGCCUGACUUGAGUGCGGAAGAGGUAAGUGGAAUUCCCAGUGUAGCGGUGAAAUGCGUAGAGAUUGGGAGGAACACCAGUGGCGAAGGCGACUUACUGGGCCGUAACUGACGCUGAGGCGCGAAAGCGUGGGGAGCAAAC
rnacentral:rRNA from 1 species